rnacentral:lncRNA from 1 species
GGUUAAUGUUUGGGGGAUCUUAAACUUCAUAUAUUGAUAUAGGUUCAUAAUAAUGAAGUACUGAACUCCAUAUAUGUACUAGUAUAGACCAAUUAUUUGAGGACUGGAGAAACCCUAACUAGACUACAUGGUAAGUGAAGCAAAUUUGGAGUGCAUGGGAGUAAUUGUUGGUAUAAGGACCACAAGUCAUGCAUCAUUUUAGAAUGGGAGAAUGGCUAGAGAUUCUUUCAACCAAUUUGUCCAUUAGGAUUUGUUUGCAAGAUAGGUAUAUUUUAUGAGAAACUUCUACAUACACCAUACGGGAUUCAGGAACAUGGUAAUAAUUUUUCUUUUGCAUAUUCUUCAUUUACCAUGC